AGUGGUUCUCAGGUGACGCAUCCCAGAAUCGGGCUGCCUCCUCUCUGGUUCCCGGUGCAUCACCUGCGAACUGCA
rfam:Myotis lucifugus cont2.18764, whole genome shotgun sequence.